GACGAACGCUGGCGGCGUGCUUAACACAUGCAAGUCGAACGGUGAAGCUCCAGCUUGCUGGAGUGGAUCAGUGGCGAACGGGUGAGUAACACGUGAGCAACCUGCCCCUGACUCUGGAAUAAGCGCUGGAAACGGCGUCUAAUACUGGAUACGAGAAGGGUCCGCAUGGGCACUUUCUGGAAAGUUUUUCGGUUGGGGAUGGGCUCGCGGCCUAUCAGCUUGUUGGUGAGGUAAUGGCUCACCAAGGCGACGACGGGUAGCCGGCCUGAGAGGGCGACCGGCCACACUGGGACGGAGACGAGGCCCAGACUCCUACGGGAGGCAGAGGAGGAGAAGAGUGCACAAUGGGCGAAAGCCUGAUGCAGCGACGCCGCGUGGGGGAUGACGGCCUGCGGGUUGUAAACCUCUUUCAGCAGGGAAGAAGCGAAAGUGACGGUACCUGCAGAAGAAGCACCGGCUAACUACGUG
rnacentral:rRNA from 1 species